rnacentral:rRNA from 1 species
UGGUUGAUUCUGCCAGUAGUCAUAUGCUUGUUUAAAAGAUUAAGCCAUGCAUGUCUAAGUAUAAGCACUCCUUUUACUGUAAAACUGCGGACGGCUCAUUAAAUCAGUUAUAAUUUACAUGAUCAUACUACUUUCUACAUGGAUAACCGUGGGAAUUCUAGAGCUAAUACAUGAUUCAAAUCAGGACCUUUUAAAGGAAAUGAUGAAUUUAUUAGAUUAACCAACGCGGAGUAUUUAAACUGUGCAGAACUUGUGUCUGUGUGGGCUUCGGUCUCUUCUGAGAUACUUUUGGUGAUUCAAAAUAACUUAUCGAAUCGCAGAGGCGUUUACGUCGGCGAUGAUACAUACAAAUUUCUGCUCGAUUAACUGUCGAUGGUAGUGUAGUGGACUACCAUGGUGAUAAUCGAUGACGGGGGGUUAGGGUUCGAUUCCGGAGAGGUAGCCUGAGAAAUGGCUACCACUUCCAAGGAAGGCAGCAGGCGCGCAAAUUACCCAAUGCUAACUCAGCGAGGUAGUGACAAGAAAUACCAAUACAAUGCCAAUGGUGUUGUGUUUGGAAUGAGAGUAAUCUAAACAUUUACUCGAGGAACAAUUGGAGGGCAAGUCUGGUGCCAGCAGCCGCGGUAAUUCCAGCUCCAAUAGUGUAUAUUAAAGUUGUUGCAGUUAAAAAGCUCGUAGUUGGAUGUCGGUAACUAUCAUGAGUGUCCACACUCAAUGUGUGCGUACACAAAUGUAGUACCUUCUUUCUGGAUGUAAUCUUGUAUUGCUCCAGAUAUUUUACUUUGAGAAAAUUAGAGUGUUCAAAGCAGGCGUAACUUUGCCUUUGAAUAUAUUAGCAUGGGAUAAUGAAAUAAGACUUUUGCCUUAUUCUCGUUGGUUCUUUUAGGCUUAAGUAAUGAUUAAUAGGGACAGUUGGGGUUAUCUGUAUUUGAUCGCCAGAGGUGAAAUUCUAAGACUGAUCAAAGACAAACUACUGCGAAAGCAUUUAACAAGGAUGUUUCAUUAAUCAAGAGCGAAAGUUGGGGGAUCGAAGAUGAUCAGAUACCGUCGUAGUCCCAACCAUAAACUAUGUCGACCAAGGAUUCGAGAGCGUUACAUGAAUGACCUUCCGGGCACUUAUAGAGAAAUCAUAAGUAUUUGGAUUCCGGGGGGAGUAUGGUCGCAAGGCUGAAACUUAAAGAAAUUGACGGAAGGGCACCACAAGGAGUGGAAUAUGCGGUUUAAUUUGACCCAACACGGGAAAACUUACCAGGUCCAGACACAAGGAGGAUUGACAGAUUGAGAGCUCUUUCUUAAUUUUGUGGGUGGUGGUGCAUGGCCGUUUCUAGUUGGUGGAGUGAUUUGUCUGGUUAAUUCCGUUAACGAACGAGACCUUAACCUAUUAAAUAGUAACAUCUACUU